GAACCCAGUGCCUCACACAUGCUGGGUGAGAGCUCUACCACUGAGCUCCCAGACCCAUACUUGAGCUGGGCCUCGGUUUCCUCACCUGGUGGGGAAUGUUCUUCCAGUCGUGGGAAUAUGUUUGUGACUGCUGUCUCUUCUCUUCCUUAUAUUUUUUUUUAAUCUUUGUGAGAAAAAUCCUGCUGUUCUGCUUGUUUUCUCUGAGCCGUUUUGUUAGUUGAGGUGUUUGCAUGCUGAGCAACACACACUAAUAUUUUCCUUUGUAGCAAAACAUUAAUUAUCCCAUCCAGUAACCUUUCUCUCGGGUAUUUUGUUCUUACCACCCCCUAAGCUGUUGGACACCAAGCAAUUUCUGUAUUUUCUCAUCAUCUCAGCAAGCCGACUACAAGGGCUGGGGGGGAGAGCAUUCCCACUUGGCUGUGCUCAGGCUCUUCUUCCAGACACUCCCCGACACACACACAGUGGCACCCAGUACUUGCAGAGCACCCUGCGAGGCUGCUGUCCCAGCACUGUUCAUGCUGUGUGGGAACUCUCUGUUUACAUCUCCCAAGAGGCUGUGAAUGCACUCAUGUCUUUAUUCCAACUGUGCUCGGCACACACAGUGGCUCUCUGAGUGUGCCCUAUAAGCAGAUGGGUGAAGGAAACUGAAGGACUGAACAGAGGAUGCGCAGCCCCAGAACCCAGAGCAGCCGCCCAUUGGCCCCUCAGCCUCCAUCUCUUGC
rnacentral:lncRNA from 1 species